GAUGAACGCUGGCGGCGUGCUUAACACAUGCAAGUCGAACGAAGCACCUCUCCCGAAGAUUGACACAGCUUGCUGUAGAUUGAUUCAUUUGAGGUGACUGAGUGGCGGACGGGUGAGUAACGCGUGGGUAACCUGCCUCAUAGAGGGGGACAACAGUUGGAAACGACUGCUAAUACCGCAUAGUAAGAAAGAUUCGCAUGUUUCUUUCUUGAAAGAUUUAUCGCUAUGAGAUGGACCCGCGUCUGAUUAGCUAGUUGGUAAGGUAACGGCUUACCAAGGCGACGAUCAGUAGCCGGCUUGAGAGAGUGAACGGCCACAUUGGGACUGAGACACGGCCCAAACUCCUACGGGAGGCAGCAGUGGGGAAUAUUGCACAAUGGGGGAAACCCUGAUGCAGCGACGCCGCGUGAGUGAAGAAGUAUUUCGGUAUGUAAAGCUCUAUCAGCAGGGGAGAUAAUGACG
rnacentral:rRNA from 1 species